rnacentral:tRNA from 1 species
GGAUCCUUAGCUCAACUGGUAGAGCACUUAGGAAAUGAAGCUUUUUCUCCAGUACAUCUCAAGAGGAUGGUGGUUCAAAUCCACCAAGAUCCU